rnacentral:rRNA from 1 species
AGAGAGCUUGCUCUCGGGUGACGAGUGGCGGACGGGUCCAGUAAUGUCUGGGAAACUGCCUGAUGGAGGGGGAUAACUACUGGAAACGGUAGCUAAUACCGCAUAACGUCGCAAGACCAAAGAGGGGGACCUUCGGGCCUCUUGCCAUCAGAUGUGCCCAGAUGGGAUUAGCUAGUAGGUGGGGUAACGGCUCACCUAGGCGACGAUCCCUAGCUGGUCUGAGAGGAUGACCAGCCACACUGGAACUGAGACACGGUCCAGACUCCUACGGGAGGCAGCAGUGGGGAAUAUUGCACAAUGGGCGCAAGCCUGAUGCAGCCAUGCCGCGUGUAUGAAGAAGGCCUUCGGGUUGUAAAGUACUUUCAGCGGGGAGGAAGGUGUUGUGGUUAAUAACCGCAGCAAUUGACGUUACCCGCAGAAGAAGCACCGGCUAACUCCGUGCCAGCAGCCGCGGUAAUACGGAGGGUGCAAGCGUUAAUCGGAAUUACUGGGCGUAAAGCGCACGCAGGCGGUCUGUCAAGUCGGAUGUG